rnacentral:rRNA from 1 species
AGAGUUUGAUCCUGGCUCAGGAUGAACGCUGGCGGCGUGCCUAACACAUGCAAGUCGAGCGGCAGCGAGGGGUGCUUGCACCCUGUCGGCGAGCGGCGGACGGCUGAGUAACGCGUAGGAAUUUGCCCCAAAGUGAGGAAUAACUGCCCGAAAGGGUAGCUAAUACCGCAUAUGGUCUUCGGAUUAAAGGAUUUAUCCGCUUUGGGAGAAGCCUGCGUUGGAUUAGGUAGUUGGUAGGGUAAUGGCCUACCAAGCCGACGAUCCAUAGCUGGUCUGAGAGGAUGAUCAGCCAGACUGGAACUGAGACACGGUCCAGACUCCUACGGGAGGCAGCAGUGAGGAAUCUUCCACAAUGGGCGAAAGCCUGAUGGAGCAACGCCGCGUGCAGGAUGAAGGCCUUCGGGUUGUAAACUGCUUUUAUAAGUGAGGAAUAUGACGGUAACUUAUGAAUAAGGAUCGGCUAACUACGUGCCAGCAGCCGCGGUCAUACGUAGGAUCCGAGCGUUAUCCGGAGUGACUGGGCGUAAAGAGUUGCGUAGGCGGUUUGUUAAGUGAAUAGUGAAAUCUGGUGGCUCAACCAUACAGGCUAUUAUUCAAACUGGCAAACUCGAGAGUGGUAGAGGUCACUGGAAUUUCUUGUGUAGGAGUGAAAUCCGUAGAUAUAAGAAGGAACACCGAUGGCGUAGGCAGGUGACUGGACCAUUUCUGACGCUAAGGCACGAAAGCGUGGGGAGCGAACCGGAUUAGAUACCCGGGUAGUCCACGCCGUAAACGAUGGAUACUAGCUGUUGGAGGUAUCGACCCCUUCAGUAGCGAAGCUAACGCGUUAAGUAUCCCGCCUGUGGAGUACGGCCGCAAGGCUAAAACAUAAAGGAAUUGACGGGGAC